UAUGUAUCUCAAUUGUGGCUCCCUCUAUCACUUCUCCUUUUAUGAACUGAACUCAAAGAACUGGACAGGUAGAAACGCAGUAAACUCAAAGAACUGGACAGGUGGAAAAGCAGUAAACUCAAAGAACUGGACAGGUAGAAACGCAGUAAACUCAACAAACUGGACAGGUAGAAACGCAGUAAACUCAAAGAACUGGACAGGUAGAAACGCAGUAAACUCAAAGAACUGGACAGGUAGAAACGCAGUAAACUCAAAGAACUGGACAGGUGGACAAGCAGUAAACUCAAAGAACUGGACAGGUAGAAACACAGUAAACUCAAAGAACUGGACAGGUAGGAACGCAGUAAACUCAAAGAACUGGACAGGUAGAAACGCAGUAAACUCAAAGAACUGGACAGGUAGAAAAGCAGUAAACUCAAAGAACUGGACAGGUAGAAACGCAGUAAACUCAAAGAACUGGACAGGUAGAAAAGCAGUAAACUCAAAGAACUGGACAGGUAGAAACGCAGUAAACUCAAAGAACUGGACAGGUAGAAACGCAGUAAACUCAAAGAACUGGACAGGUAGAAACGCAGUAAACUCAAAGAACUGGACAGGUAGAAACGCAGUAA